rnacentral:rRNA from 1 species
AUACGUAGGUGGCAAGCGUUCUCCGGAUUUACUGGGUGUAAAGGGCGUGUAGGCGGAGAUGCAAGUCAGGAGUGAAAUCUAGGGGCUCAACCCCUAAACUGCUUUUGAAACUGUAUCCCUUGAGUAUCGGAGAGGCAGGCGGAUUUCCUAGGGUAAAGGUUAAAUGCGUAGAUAUUAGGAGGAACACCAGUGGCGAAGGCGGCCUGCUGGACGACAACUGACGCUGAGGCGCGAAAGCGUGGGGAGCAAACAGGAUUAGAUACCCUGGUAGUCCACGCUGUAAACGAUGAAUACUAGGUGUGGGGGGACUGACCCCCUCCGUGCCGCAGUUAACACAAUAAGUAUUCCACCUGGGGAGUACGAUCGCAAGAUUGAAACUCAAAUGAAUUGGCGGGG